rnacentral:rRNA from 1 species
UACGAAGGGGGCGAGCGUUGUUCGGAUUUACUGGGCGUAAAGGGCGCGUAGGCGGCCUUGUCAGUCAGGCGUGAAAGCCCCGGGCUCAACCUGGGAACGGCGCUUGGGACGGCGAGGCUGGAGUUCGGGAGAGGAGAGUGGAAUUCCCAGUGUAGAGGUGAAAUUCGUAGAUAUUGGGAAGAACACCGGUGGCGAAGGCGGCUCUCUGGUCUGUAACUGACACUGAGGCGCGAAAGCGUGGGGAGCAAACAGG